rnacentral:rRNA from 1 species
CAGAAUGAACGCUGGCGGCGUGCUUAACACAUGCAAGUCGAACGAGAAAUCUUUAGCUUGCUAGAGAAAGUAAAGUGGCGCACGGGUGAGUAACGCGUGGGUAAUCUGCCUCCGAAUCGGGGAUAACAUUGCGAAAGCGAUGCUAAUACCGGAUAAAAUCUGGUUGGCUUAGGUGAACCGGAUCAAAGGUGGUCUCUUUAUAAAAGCUACCGUUUGGAGAUGAGCUCGCGUACCAUUAGCUAGUUGGUGAGGUAAAGGCUCACCAAGGCGACGAUGGUUAGCUGGUCUGAGAGGAUGAUCAGCCACACCGGAACUGGAACACGGUCCGGACUCCUACGGGAGGCAGCAGUGAGGAAUUUUGCGCAAUGGGGGAAACCCUGACGCAGCAACGCCGCGUGAGUGAUGAAGGCUUUCGGGUCGUAAAGCUCUGUCAGGUGGGAAGAACCCACCAAGUGUUAAGACCACUUGGUGCUGACGGUACCACCGAAGGAAGCACCGGCUAACUCCGUGCCAGCAGCCGCGGUAAUACGGGGGGUGCGAGCGUUAUUCGGAAUCAUUGGGCGUAAAGGGCGCGCAGGCGGUUUUGUAAGUCAGAUGUGAAAUCCCGGGGCUUAACCCCGGAAGUGCAUAUGAAACUAUGAGACUUGAGUAUGGGAGAGGGAAGCGGAAUUCCUGGUGUAGCGGUGAAAUGCGUAGAUAUCAGGAGGAACACCGGUGGCGAAGGCGGCUUCCUGGACCAAUACUGACGCUGAGGCGCGAAGGCGUGGGGAGCGAACAGGAUUAGAUACCCUGGUAGUCCACGCAGUAAACGUUGAUCACUAGGUGUAGCGGGUAUUGAGCCCUGCUGUGCCGGAGU